AAAACAAGCGAUGUGGAGCAAACCCCUAAAAAUGGUCUCAGUUCAGAUUGCAGGCUGCAACCCGCCUGCAUGAAGUCGGAAUUGCUAGUAAUCGCGGAUCAGCAUGCCGCGGUGAAUACGUUCCCGGGCCUUGUACACACCGCCCGUCACACCAUGGGAGCCGGUAAUACCCGAAGUCAGUAGUCCCAACCUCGUGAGGACGCUGCCGAAGGUAGGAUUGGCGACUGGGGUGAAGUCGUAACAAGGUAUC
rnacentral:rRNA from 1 species